ACUGAAACCAACGCUUCUGUCUUUGUACGGGCCGUCGCUUCCAUCAUCCUGCGGUAAGCAGCAUGCCCAACCGAAAAAACAAAGCUCGUCGCGGAGCCGCCAGCGUCCUCAACUCAGCGCCGCCCUGACGCCCGCGCACGCACGGCCUCGCUGCGUGACGCUACCGCCGCGGCUACGCCGGCGCCCGCACCCGCGCCUCGGCCUCCCCGCGGGGCUCGCCAACCUCGUGCGCUCUCACGGUCGGCCUUGGGCCCCGGGAGCCUCAUGGUGCGCCGAGCUCCGUCCCUCUAGGCUCUCAGUUCCAAGGCGUCGGUUUUGCGUCUCGUAACGGCCGCUGUGGCGCAUGCCCAGAAGCCAUUUUCAAGGUCCUCUUCCGAACCUUGGCGAGGACCCCUGCGCCUGCCGCGCCGUUGACCCCGCUAGCGUGCGGCUGCGACGCGGCACGGUACGGCAGCUGUUGGCGAAGGCCCCCAACUCCGAGCGCGUCCGCAGACCGCGAGCCGGAAGGCGGCUUGGGCGGCUGUUGAGUUCGUGGCGCUCCCGAGGCGUGGCAAAGGCCUAAAAACGGUCCUGGCCAGCGGAAGGCGGCAAGAGGAGCAGCAAGGCUCCACGCGAGGCGGCCGGCGGCUGGAGUCCCAGUCAGCCUCCGCUUUCAUCCCAGAGCAGUCCACGGGGGCCUUAAAGGAAUGUAGGCUGGGUGAAGUUGGCCCAGUGACACCUGCGUUCAGAAAAACGUUCUUUCCGCUCCCAACGCCCCCUCUCCACCGCCACCCGACCCCCGAAAUAGUUUUCCCCGAGUGUUGUGGAUAGAACUGUUGAUCUCUUGGAAAAGUUAUUGUAUCCUGCCAUCCUUCCCUCUGGAGACUCCACUUAAUAUAUAUAAAGUUUCAGGAAAAUCAACCUUUAAAAGGAGUGAAAUUCUGACAUUUGCUGCCACAUGGAUGAAUCUUGAUGAUGAUAUGCUGAGUGAUAUAUAAUCAGUCACGGAAGGACAAAUACUGCAUGAUUCAAUUUAUAUCAGCAGGCCCUGACAUUGUAUAAGCUUCAGGCCCCACAAAACCUGGAUCUGCCCUGCCAGGAUCAGCAUCUAGAGGAAAACUACUACUUCCACAAUAGCACAACCAAUCUGAUCAUCCCUGCAUCAGUGAGCAUUCUCCAGAGAAACAGAGCCAACAGGAUAUGUGUAUAUAUGUGAAGAAAGACUUAUUUUAAGGAGUUGGCUCAUGCAAUUAUGGAGGUGCAAGUCCAAAAUCUGUAGGGCAGGCAGAUGGGCAGACUGGAGACCCAGAGAAGAGUUGCAGUUCAAGUCCAAAGUCGGUUGGAAGAAUUCCCUCUUGCUGGGUAACACUGGGGAAGCAGGAGUAGAUGGAAAGGGGAGGUGUCAGGCUUUGCUCUACCAAGGACUUCAACUGAUUGGAUGAGGCCCAGUAACAUUAUGGAGGGAAACCUGCUUUGCUCAGAGUUUACUGAUUUAAAUAUUAAUCUCAUCCACAAAAAAAUAAAUAACCUUCACAGAAACAUUUAGAAUAUUUGACCAAAUAUCUAAGUCCCAUGGCUCAGACAACUUAACACAUAAAAUUAUCCAUCACAAUUCCAUUAUCCCAAUACAGGUCGGCAGGGCCUUGGGCAGGUGGUAACCUCAGCUCUGGAGUCUACAGCAAUACUCUCACACUUAACAGAUGUAGUUCUGUGGGUCCAGGUCCCACUUCGCAAGAGAGAAUCUGAUGGGCUAAUUUCGACCAAGUCUCCUUUCCUAGUUCAAUCACGUGUAAGGGUUAGAGAAAGGGUUGGGCUCACAAGGGACUUAGGGCUGCCUCUCUGGACUUGGGAGAGCAGGACUUCUCAAGAGAUAAAUGGUUAGAGAGUAAUAUAAUUUGGAUAUUUGUCCCCUAUAAAUCUCAUGUUGAAAUUUGAUGUUCAAUGUUGAGGGCAGGUCUGGGACCUCCCUCCCUGCUUUUGCUCCCCCUCUCGCCAUAUGGCACAACUGCUCCCUUCACCUUCUGCUAUGAAUGGAAGCUUCCUGAGGCCUUCACCAAAAGCGGAGGCUGGUACCAUGCUUCACGCACAGCCUGCAGAAUCAUG
rnacentral:lncRNA from 1 species